CAGUCGACGGUAACGAAAGAAGCUUGCUUCUUUGCUGACGAGUGGCGGACGGGUGAGUAAUGUCUGGGAAACUGCCUGAUGGAGGGGGAUAACUACUGGAAACGGUAGCUAAUACCGCAUAACGUCGCAAGACCAAAGAGGGGGACCUUCGGGCCUCUUGCCAUCGGAUGUGCCCAGAUGGGAUUAGCUUGUUGGUGGGGUAACGGCUCACCAAGGCGACGAUCCCUAGCUGGUCUGAGAGGAUGACCAGCCACACUGGAACUGAGACACGGUCCAGACUCCUACGGGAGGCAGCAGUGGGGAAUAUUGCACAAUGGGCGCAAGCCUGAUGCAGCCAUGCCGCGUGUAUGAAGAAGGCCUUCGGGUUGUAAAGUACUUUCAGCGGGGAGGAAGGGAGUAAAGUUAAUACCUUUGCUCAUUGACGUUACCCGCAGAAGAAGCACCGGCUAACUCCGUGCCAGCAGCCGCGGUAAUACGGAGGGUGCAAGCGUUAAUCGGAAUUACUGGGCGUAAAGCGCACGCAGGCGGUUUGUUAAGUCAGAUGUGAAAUCCCCGGGCUCAACCUGGGAACUGCAUCUGAUACUGGCAAGCUUGAGUCUCGUAGAGGGGGGUAGAAUUCCAGGUGUAGCGGUGAAAUGCGUAGAGAUCUGGAGGAAUACCGGUGGCGAAGGCGGCCCCCUGGACGAAGACUGACGCUC
rnacentral:rRNA from 1 species